GAUUUUCAUGGAUUUUUCGAUGACCGACAUCGAAAGCGGCUUUCGAUGCUCGUGGUCGAAUUUUGCCGAAAACUCCUUUUUUUCAAAGAAAUAAUGUUCCAAGAUAAUUCAUAUUGAUGUAAAAUGACUUUACAAGUAAUAAAACUUACCACUCAUUGCGGGAAAGUCACGAAAAUACGAUUUUCCGACUUUUCAUUUUCGAUGCUCGAGCAUUUUAAACCGACCGACAUCGAAAGCAUACUCACGAUCAUGCUUUGCUAAAAUGUCAGUGCAUCGAAACACGAUGCUUGUCCGCGUCGCUUUGAUGCCACCGCCGCACCCCGGACACAAACCAGAAUAACGCUUGGUAACUGGCGGGAACAUGUUGGAAAUGAAACUCAACGAAGAAAAUAAUCUGACUGAUCUGUCAAACUGGUUUUGGCAAAAUCAAAACAGCUGAUUUGGUUGCUGUCAGAAAACUUCCAAAUUUUAUUUUUUGAGGCCAACAAAACGAUUUUAGAUUGAUUGGCCAAUUAUAAAGCGAACAGUUUGCUCAAUCUUUGCAAUGAACAAAAAGCAAAAGGAUGCGAUGGAUUUCCGGGACCACAGAGUCUGUCCCUGGAAGGCAAGUUCCAACCAUCCUCAACGAAACUAUUUAGGAAUUCAGGCGGAAUAUUUCAAAACUGGUCCGAACCAGGAUGAUGCCUCCCAACAAAAUCAACUCGUCACCACCGUUCCCGGGUUGUUUGUGAAUCUCCGGCGCGCUUCCGUUCAAACGUCGCAAACAAUACGAGACAUUGAUGCAGUGUUGAAGACGCACAAAUUGAUUGAAUAAAACCGAAACAUUCCAAACGUAUAUAUGUUUCACGAUAGACAGAAC